rnacentral:rRNA from 1 species
CCUACGGGAGGCAGCAGUGGGGAAUAUUGGGCAAUGGGCGCAAGCCUGACCCAGCAAUGCCGCGUGAAGGAAGAAGGCUUUCGGGUUGUAAACUUCUUUGACAGGGGGAGUGCAGAAGACGGUACCCUGAAAACAAGCCACGGCUAACUACGUGCCAGCAGCCGCGGUAAUACGUAGGUGGCAAGCGUUGGCCGGAUUUACUGGGUGUAAAGGGCGUGUAGCCGGGAAGGCAAGUCAGAUGUGAAAUCUGGAGGCUCAACCUCCAAAUUGCAUUUGAAACUGUUUUUCUUGAGUACUGGAGAGGCAGACGGAAUUCCUUGUGUAGCGGUGAAAUGCGUAGAUAUAAGGAGGAACACCAGUGGCGAAGGCGGUCUGCUGGACAGCAACUGACGGUGAGGCGCGAAAGCGUGGGGAGCAAACAGGAUUAGAUACCCCAGUAGUC